rfam:Triticum aestivum genome assembly, contig: Triticum_aestivum_CS42_TGACv1_scaffold_032634_1BL
AUAGUACUCCCUCCGUCCGGAAAAACUUGUCCCUCAAAUGGAUGUAUCUAGCACCAAGUUAGUGCUAGAUACAUCCAUUUGAGGAACAAGUUUGGGACAACUUUUCCCGGACGGAGGGAGUAGAUG